GGGCAUGUGGUGUAGUUGGUUAUCACAUUCGCUUCGCAUGAAUCCUGAGAUCACGUGACUGCGAAAGGUGUCCGGUUCAAUUCCGGACAUGUCCA